UUUACUUUAAGUAAAAUCUGCUCCAUGUUAUAUAAAUAGCCGCAGAAAUUUAACUGUGCUAAGGUAGCAUAAUCAUUUACCUUUUAAUUAAAGGUUUGUAUGAAUGAUUUUACAUUUAAAUUACUUUUUUAUAAAUUUUUAUUAAAUUUAAAUUAAACACAAAAAUGUUUUUAUUCUCAAAAAAGACGAUAAGACCCUAAUGAACUUAACUUCUGUUUAGCUGGGGAAGCUACUUAAAUAUAAUUUUAACUUCAAUCAAAAAAACAAUACCUGAUAUAAUUAUAUUAACAAGUUACCAUAGGGAUAACAGCGUAAUAUAAUUUUAAAGCUCAUAUUAAAAAUUAAGCUUACGACCUCGAUGUUGAAUUAGAAUAACUUUUAAAUGUAAAUGUUUAAAAAGUAGGUCUGUUCGACCUUUAAUAAUCUACA
rnacentral:rRNA from 1 species